ACGGAGGGGGCUAGCGUUGUUCGGAAUUACUGGGCGUAAAGCGUGCGUAGGCGGAUUGGAAAGUUAGGUGUGAAAUCCCAGGGCUCAACCCUGGAACUGCACUUAAAACUGCCAGUCUAGAGUUCUGGAGAGGUAAGGGGAAUUCCUAGUGUAGAGGUGAAAUUCGUAGAUAUUAGGAGGAACACCAGAGGCGAAGGCGCCUUACUGGACAGAUACUGACGCUGAGGCACGAAAGUGUGGGUAGCAAACAGG
rnacentral:rRNA from 1 species